rnacentral:rRNA from 1 species
CUUGAUAGCCCUUUACAUUCACUAUCCGCCCGGGUACUACGAGCGUUAGCUUAAAACCCAAAGGACCUGGCGGUGCUUUAGAUCCCCCUAGAGGAGCCUGUUCUAGAACCGAUAAUCCCCGUUAAACCUCACCCUCUCUUGUCCUUUCCGCCUAUAUACCGCCGUCGUCAGCUUACCCUGCUGAAGGAACCAUAGUGGGCAAAAUUAGUACAACUCAAAACGCCAGGUCGAGGUGCAGCAUAUGAGAGGGGAAGAAAUGGGCUACAUUCCCUAUUUCAGGGAAUACGAACCAUGCAAUGAAAUGUGCAUAGAAGGUGGAUUUAGCAGUAAGCAGAAAACAGAGCG